UACGGAGGGGGCUAGCGUUGCUCGGAAUUACUGGGCGUAAAGGGCGCGUAGGCGGCCUUGCAAGUCAGGCGUGAAAGCCCCGGGCUUAACCCGGGAAAUGCGCUUGGGACUGCGGGGCUCGAGGUCGGGAGAGGGUAGUGGAAUUCCCAGUGUAGAGGUGAAAUUCGUAGAUAUUGGGAAGAACACCAGUGGCGAAGGCGGCUACCUGGACCGAAUCUGACGCUAAGGCGCGAAAGCGUGGGGAGCAAACAGG
rnacentral:rRNA from 1 species